rnacentral:rRNA from 1 species
UGGGGAAUAUUGGACAAUGGGCGAAAGCCUGAUCCAGCCAUGCCGCGUGAGUGAUGAAGGCCCUAGGGUUGUAAAGCUCUUUUGUGCGGGAAGAUAAUGACGGUACCGCAAGAAUAAGCCCCGGCUAACUUCGUGCCAGCAGCCGCGGUAAUACGAAGGGGGCUAGCGUUGCUCGGAAUCACUGGGCGUAAAGGGUGCGUAGGCGGGUCUUUAAGUCAGGGGUGAAAUCCUGGAGCUCAACUCCAGAACUGCCUUGGAUACUGAAGAUCUUGAGUUCGGGAGAGGGGGGUGGAACUGCGAGUGUAGAGGUGAAAGUCGUAGAUAUUCGCAAGAACACCAGUGGCGAAGGCGGCUCACUGGCCCGAUACUGACGCUGAGGCACGAAAGCGUGGGGAGCAAACAGG